AGCUCCAAUAGCGUAUAUUAAAGUUGUUGCAGUUAAAAAGCUCGUAGUUGGAUUUGUGGCAGUCGUGGACGGCCCGACACUUAGUGUUGGCGCUUGUCGACGUCGCCAUCCUUGGGUGGAACCUAUGUGGCAUUAGGUUGUCGUGUAGGGGAUGCCCAUCGUUUACUGUGAAAAAAUUAGAGUGUUCAAAGCAGGCUUAUGCCGUUGAAUAUAUUAGCAUGGAAUAAUAAGAUAGGACCUUGGUACUAUUUUGUUGGUUUGCGCACCAAGGUAAUGAUUAAUAGGGACAGUUGGGGGUAUUCGUAUUCCAUUGUCAGAGGUGAAAUUCUUGGAUUUUUGGAAGACGAACUACUGCGAAAGCAUUUACCAAGGAUGUUUUCAUUAAUCAAGAACGAAAGUA
rnacentral:rRNA from 1 species